AGAGUUUGAUCAUGGCUCAGAUUGAACGCUGGCGGCAGGCCUAACACAUGCAAGUCGAGCGGUAGCACAGAGAGCUUGCUCUCGGGUGACGAGCGGCGGACGGGUGAGUAAUGUCUGGGAAACUGCCUGAUGGAGGGGGAUAACUACUGGAAACGGUAGCUAAUACCGCAUAACGUCGCAAGACCAAAGUGGGGGACCUUCGGGCCUCAUGCCAUCAGAUGUGCCCAGAUGGGAUUAGCUAGUAGGUGGGGUAACGGCUCACCUAGGCGACGAUCCCUAGCUGGUCUGAGAGGAUGACCAGCCACACUGGAACUGAGACACGGUCCAGACUCCUACGGGAGGCAGCAGUGGGGAAUAUUGCACAAUGGGCGCAAGCCUGAUGCAGCCAUGCCGCGUGUGUGAAGAAGGCCUUCGGGUUGUAAAGCACUUUCAGCGGGGAGGAAGGCGUUAAGGUUAAUAACCUUAUCGAUUGACGUUACCCGCAGAAGAAGCACCGGCUAACUCCGUGCCAGCAGCCGCGGUAAUACGGAGGGUGCAAGCGUUAAUCGGAAUUACUGGGCGUAAAGCGCACGCAGGCGGUCUGUCAAGUCGGAUGUGAAAUCCCCGGGCUCAACCUGGGAACUGCAUUCGAAACUGGCAGGCUAGAGUCUUGUAGAGGGGGGUAGAAUUCCAGGUGUAGCGGUGAAAUGCGUAGAGAUCUGGAGGAAUACCGGUGGCGAAGGCGGCCCCCUGGACAAAGACUGACGCUCAGGUGCGAAAGCGUGGGGAGCAAACAGGAUUAGAUACCCUGGUAGUCCACGCCGUAAACGAUGUCGAUUUGGAGGUUGUGCCCUUGAGGCGUGGCUUCCGGAGCUAACGCGUUAAAUCGACCGCCUGGGGAGUACGGCCGCAAGGUUAAAACUCAAAUGAAUUGACGGGGGCCCGCACAAGCGGUGGAGCAUGUGGUUUAAUUCGAUGCAACGCGAAGAACCUUACCUGGUCUUGACAUCCACAGAACUUUCCAGAGAUGGAUUGGUGCCUUCGGGAACUGUGAGACAGGUGCUGCAUGGCUGUCGUCAGCUCGUGUUGUGAAAUGUUGGGUUAAGUCCCGCAACGAGCGCAACCCUUAUCCUUUGUUGCCAGCGGUCCGGCCGGGAACUCAAAGGAGACUGCCAGUGAUAAACUGGAGGAAGGUGGGGAUGACGUCAAGUCAUCAUGGCCCUUACGACCAGGGCUACACACGUGCUACAAUGGCAUAUACAAAGAGAAGCGACCUCGCGAGAGCAAGCGGACCUCAUAAAGUAUGUCGUAGUCCGGAUUGGAGUCUGCAACUCGACUCCAUGAAGUCGGAAUCGCUAGUAAUCGUAGAUCAGAAUGCUACGGUGAAUACGUUCCCGGGCCUUGUACACACCGCCCGUCACACCAUGGGAGUGGGUUGCAAAAGAAGUAGGUAGCUUAACCUUCGGGAGGGCGCUUACCACUUUGUGAUUCAUGACUGGGGUGAAGUCGUAACAAGGUAACCGUAGGGGAACCUGCGGUUGGAUCACCUCCUU
rnacentral:rRNA from 1 species